UAAAUGAUAAUUAUAUGAAAGUGACGGGUCAAUAUGUACAUAUUUUAAUUUUUAAUCAUUUUAAUAAAUUAAAUAAAAUUACAUUUAAAUCCACCCUCAAUUAAUUGUUACAAAUUAAUAUUGGUAUAAAUAAAUUUAUUGUAAUCCAUUAUAUUCUUAAUUAUAAUCUGCAUCUUGAUCUGAUUUAAAUUAAUUCAAAAUUUUUAAAUAUUAAUUUUUUUUAAAAAUAUUUUUUUAACAACGAUAUACAAAAUAUUAAAUUAAGUAAAUUUAUUCGUGGAUUAUCAAUUAUUAAACAGAUUCCUCUAAAUGAACUAAAAUACCGCCAAAUUAUUUAAGUUUCAAUAAAUAAUUAAUUACUAUUUUAGUAUUAUAAAUUUAAAUUUUAAUAAUAGGGUAUCUAAUCCUAGUAUAA
rnacentral:rRNA from 1 species